UGGAGGCGUGCUUAACACAUGCAAGUCGAACGAAGCACUUGAAACGGAUUCUUCGGAUGAAGUUUCCUGUGACUGAGUGGCGGACGGGUGAGUAACGCGUGGGUAACCUGCCUCAUACAGGGGGAUAACAGUUAGAAAUGGCUGCUAAUACCGCAUAAGCGCACGGCAUCGCAUGAUGCAGUGUGAAAAACUCCGGUGGUAUGAGAUGGACCCGCGUUGGAUUAGCUAGUUGGCAGGGUAACGGCCUACCAAGGCGACGAUCCAUAGCCGGCCUGAGAGGGUGGACGGCCACAUUGGGACUGAGACACGGCCCAGACUCCUACGGGAGGCAGCAGUGGGGAAUAUUGCACAAUGGGGGAAACCCUGAUGCAGCGACGCCGCGUGAGCGAAGAAGUAUUUCGGUAUGUAAAGCUCUAUCAGCAGGGAAGAAAAUGACGGUACCUGACUAAGAAGCCCCGGCUAACUACGUGCCAGCAGCCGCGGUAAUACGUAGGGGGCAAGCGUUAUCCGGAUUUACUGGGUGUAAAGGGAGCGUAGACGGAAUGGCAAGUCUGAUGUGAAAGGCCGGGGCUCAACCCCGGGACUGCAUUGGAAACUGCCAAUCUAGAGUACCGGAGGGGUAAGUGGAAUUCCUAGUG
rnacentral:rRNA from 1 species